AAAAGAGUACAAGGUUUAGGUAGUAUUAGAUGUCUUAAAACUUAAAAAUUUUGGCGGUGUUUUAAUCUUAUCAGAGGAAUCUGUUUUAUAAUCGACAACACACGGCAUAUCUUGCUCAAAAUUGGUGGUUUGUAUAUCGUUGUGGUAAUAAUGUUUUAUAAUUAUUAUUGAGGAUAAUUUUAUUUUUAAUAUCAGAUCAAGGUUCAGCUUAUGUUUGAGAGAAAAAUGGAUUACAAUAUAAAAAUAUAUUUACGGAGUUUAUCUUUUAAAGAUAACCGAAGGUGGAUUUGAAAGUAUUUUUAUAAUAAAAUGUUAAAUUGAAUUAGCUCUAAAAUAUGC
rnacentral:rRNA from 1 species